GACGAACCGUGCGAACGUUGUUCGGAAUCACUGGGCUUAAAGGGCGCGUAGGCGGGCUAUCAAGUCCGGUGUGAAAUCCUCCCGCUCAACGGGAGAACGGCCUCGGAUACUGAUGGUCUCGAGGGGGAUAGGGGCACACGGAACUGUGGGUGGAGCGGUGAAAUGCGUUGAUAUCCAUAGGAACUCCGGUGGCGAAAGCGGUGUGCUGGAUCCCUUCUGACGCUGAGGCGCGAAAGCCAGGGGAGCGAACGGG
rnacentral:rRNA from 1 species